GUGGGGAAUAUUGGACAAUGGGCGCAAGCCUGAUCCAGCCAUGCCGCGUGAGUGAAGAAGGCCUUAGGGUUGUAAAGCUCUUUCAGUGGGGAAGAUAAUGACGGUACCCACAGAAGAAGCCCCGGCUAACUCCGUGCCAGCAGCCGCGGUAAUACGGAGGGGGCUAGCGUUGUUCGGAAUUACUGGGCGUAAAGCGCGCGUAGGCGGUUGUUCAAGUUGGGCGUGAAAGCCCGGGGCUUAACCCCGGAAAUGCGUUCAAAACUGGACAGCUAGAGUCCGGAAGAGGAGAGUGGAAUUCCCAGUGUAGAGGUGAAAUUCGUAGAUAUUGGGAAGAACACCAGUGGCGAAGGCGGCUCUCUGGUCCGGUACUGACGCUAAGGUGCGAAAGCGUGGGGAGCAAACAGG
rnacentral:rRNA from 1 species